ACAGUCAUGGUUGUGAGACAAUAAACAGAGGGAAAACAGAACAAAAGAGGUCUGGGGAGGAACCACAGUUAAGAGGAGAAGAGCCAAGAGAAAUAGCCAAGAUCUAACUGCUUUGCCUAUAGUUUAUAUGUUGAAGGAAGAAAACAGAACAUAUUUAAUGGAACACAAGGAUGGAAGAAAAAGGGAAAUCUAGGGAAAAAUAUAAAGAAGAACUCACCUGAUCAGAUUAAACUGACAAUGAAGGCACAAUAAGGACAGAUUCUUUAUGCCUUACUCUGGGAAACUUUCCCUGUAAUGUUGCUUGUGAGUAGCAAACUUUUUUGUCACAGAGAUGAGUCAUAACCUGCAGAUCUAUUUUCAUAAAGAUGUUGUUGAUGGCUGAAAGUUGCAUGUUGAUGAACUUCCCAAGAGUGAUUCAUCUCAGCAGUUUAAAGAAGAAGUGAUUGCAGGUCUUACCUCCACAGACUGAUUCUCUGAUAUGUUCAGUGCCAUGCCAAAUCCUAAAUGAAGCAUAUCAGGACAUUUCUGUUUCUUCCAGCACACAAGCUGUAAUCUUUAGCACCUAUGAGUUUCCAAAGAUAUGCAAACAGUACAUAAUCACCACUCAGAGUCUGAUAAAUGCAUGUAUUAUAUCACCAUAAAUCAGGAUUCAAAUGCUAACCUCUAAUGGACUUGCUGAAAAGCUGUGUA